rnacentral:rRNA from 1 species
GGGGAAUCUUCCGCAAUGGGCGCAAGCCUGACGGAGCAAUACCGCGUGAGGGAGGAAGGCUUUUGGGUUGUAAACCUCUUUUCUCAAGGAAGAAGCCCUGACGGUACUUGAGGAAUCAGCAUCGGCUAACUCCGUGCCAGCAGCCGCGGUAAUACGGAGGAUGCAAGCGUUAUCCGGAAUUAUUGGGCGUAAAGCGUCCGCAGGUGGUGCAUCAAGUCGGCUGUCAAAGACUAGGGCUUAACCCUGGAGCGGCAGUGGAAACUGGUGGACUAGAGUACGGUAGGGGUAGAGGGAAUUCCCAGUGUAGCGGUGAAAUGCGUAGAGAUUGGGAAGAACACCAGUGGCGAAGGCGCUCUACUGGACCUGUACUGACACUCAGGGACGAAAGCUAGGGGAGCGAAAGGGAUUAGAUACCCCUGUAGUC